rnacentral:rRNA from 1 species
GCAAGUCGAGCGGUAGCAUUUCUAGCUUGCUAGAAGAUGACGAGCGGCGGACGGGUGAGUAACGCGUAGGAAUCUGCCGAGUAGUGGGGGAUAGCCCAGAGAAAUUUGGAUUAAUACCGCAUACGCCCUACGGGGGAAAGACGGGGAAUCUUCGGAUCCUGUCACUACUGGAUGAGCCUGCGUCGGAUUAGCUUGUUGGUGAGGUAAUGGCUCACCAAGGCGACGAUCCGUAGCUGGUCUGAGAGGAUGAUC